GAGGAGGUUGUGCUCAUAUUUUCAUUGGUAUGAUGGGGAAGGCAAUGUACGUGAUAGGAAGGUUAUUUCUGGGCUAAUCCGCAAGCUUGAAGUGCAUAAGAAGAAGGAGAUCUAUUUGACUAGGUGUUGUGUCAUUGGGUGGGGACUUAGUGCAGUUUUUCUGCUUGUGAUUGUAAUGUUGUUGCUGAAAAUUUACCUUAGGAAAUAGGGCUCAUGUCAUGUACUGGUUAGGAAUUAAGCCUACUUGGUUAUGAUGGAAUGUAAUUGGUAGCCUAAUUGCUACUUGAUAUUCUAAUGCAAUGAGAAUUCUCACAGUUUAGUCUAA
rnacentral:lncRNA from 1 species